rnacentral:rRNA from 1 species
GACGAACGCUGGCGGCGUGCUUAACACAUGCAAGUCGAACGGAAAGGCCCUGCUUUUGUGGGGUGCUCGAGUGGCGAACGGGUGAGUAACACGUGAGUAACCUGCCCUUGACUUUGGGAUAACUUCAGGAAACUGGGGCUAAUACCGGAUAGGAGCUCCUGCUGCAUGGUGGGGGUUGGAAAGUUUCGGCGGUUGGGGAUGGACUCGCGGCUUAUCAGCUUGUUGGUGGGGUAGUGGCUUACCAAGGCUUUGACGGGUAGCCGGCCUGAGAGGGUGACCGGCCACAUUGGGACUGAGAUACGGCCCAGACUCCUUCGGGAGGCAGCAGUGGGGAAUAUUGCACAAUGGGCGGGAGCCUGAUGCAGCAACGCCGCGUGCGGGAUGACGGCCUUCGGGUUGUAAACCGCUUUCGCCUGUGACGAAGCGUGAGUGACGGUAAUGGGUAAAGAAGCACCGGCUAACUACGUG